CCAGGCCCUCCGGCCCCGGGCUGGCGGGUGAGCUGCAGGGCCCCGGGACUGGCCGUACCUCUGCCCUUCAGACACCGGAGGCCUCCGCUGUGGCUGCCCAUUGGCCUGGCCGGGCUCAGGCUUUGAAGCCGUGGUGAACCUCUGUACCCCACCCAACUUCGGUGAUUGAUGGCGGCGAUGGCUUCUCCCAGCCAAUACCCCAGCCUGGACGCUGCUGGCCACUGGGCCUCCUGGCCCAAGUGUGCCGGGCCUCGACAGAGCCCCAGCUGAGCUGCCCGGAUGCAACGCCUUUGGGUGGCGGCGGGAGGGGCGGACCAGGAACCAUGGUGGCCACUCGAAUGCUGCACAGCGAAGGCCGUUAGGUCACAGAGGGCCUGGGAAGGCGGCCUAAGGACGCAGGCAGGCUCGGCUGCCUCUUUAGGCCAUGGAGCCGUGCAGAUCCGGUUCCCCAGUGAUGACUCUGUCCUCAUUGGGCGAGACCUACCUAGGACAAAGGCCUAAACAGGCCUGGGAGGAGUCUGGAAAAGAGCAGGAGAGGAGAGGUGGUUGAUUUGCGUAUGAAGCCCCUGACCAGUCAUGGCUUUCCCACCAUUUUGCUGCUGUGUUCUUUUUGGUCCAGGAAAUCCUCCCACCAGCAAUUCAGGAAGCCUCUGGGAAAAAGCUAAAGAAGACCACUGUGAUUAAAACCCACUCAAUCUUUGCCAGCUGCCAUGAAGACAAGCCUAGGCCAGCUAGAUAAUGUAAGACACAUGGUCAGUCAAGUGACCCAUCUCCCAAGUUGAGAGACAAUUGCCAAACAAUGAAUGAGGCCAUCCUAGACUAGCCAGCCCCAAUUGACCCACCAGAAGACACAAACACAUGUGUGAGACCAGCUGAGAUCUUCAAAGCCUGGACAGAUAAGAACUUCCCAGAAAACCUAAAGACUUGUAGGCAGUAAGAAAUUGUUUUGUUUUAAGCCACAAAGUGUUUGGGUAGUUUGGUAUUUAGUCAUGGAUAACUGAUACAGGGACUGUAUUCAGUUCCUCAGUUCCUAUAUACCAUCCUUCUAUCAUCAUCGCAACUACUUUGUGAGAUUUUUGCAUCAUGGGCCCCAUUUUGCAAGUGAGGAAAGAAAGAUUUAAUGAAGUUAGAAGCAAUGGACUCAAGGUCAAGGGACUAGAAGUGGUACAGUCAAGGCUUUACUCAGUCUGUCUGUUCCAAAUUCUAUGUAGUUUAUACUAUGUCACACUACCAUAAGUAUAGUGAAAAAAAUGGCCUGUGGGUUGGUUGAUCAGGGUGUUUGGCUUUGCGACAAGAGUUGGGUGAAGUGGAGACAGGAGAACAGGCCGUCCAGGAGUGGGGCUCCAUGAAGGCCUGCACCAAAGUCUGAGCAAGAGAACCCCAAGAGUGAAAUCAAGAAAGGUCAAGUGGGAUGAUUCUUGUCUAACCUUCUUAAAUCAUGAAAGGAAGGAAAAGUUGAUCACCAAGUAAAAACAGGUCAGGAAACAAGGAGGGAUUUCAGGAAGAAAGAAUGACACAGGUGAGGGCUGGAAACAUGGUGAAUCAACAUUCCCAUCCAAAAAUGAUGUGACCUUAAGCGGGGAAGAAGAGAAAUGGUUUAAAAUUGGAAUAUCAUAGGCAAACUUGGGACAACACAGAAUUUCCAGUAGUUCCUCCCCCCACAAAACCCCCCUUGAAAGGAGAAAAACCUUUGGAAGAGAAGUCUGGAAAGAGCAUUGUAUCAGAGCCCAGGAAAAUCUGUGUCUUGAACUAUACCACGAAAUCCUUCAUACACCCUUACAUUGUUUCUUUGUUCAAGAUCCUUUCCCCUGCUGUGUAAGUAAGGGAAUUCCUCAAUGUUUUCUCUUUGGGAUUGAUGCUACUGCCGCUCAUCUAAUAAUUAUAACCACAUGGUAGGAUAAACCUUCUUCGCAUAUAGUAAAAUCACACUUCUAAUCUUUCUGUAGUUCAGUGAGACAUGAGACUAGUCCCGACCAGUAAGUUGUAAAGAUAAGUAUUAUGUGUCUUUUCCAUGCCAGAAUAUUUAAGGGAUAAACUGAAGACCCACCCAUCAGAGGUCUUUAUCCCUCUGGUGCAGGCACAACAUUCAAGAUAGUGGUUGUUCCAUCAACUUGGUUUCCUAAGUGAUAGUGUAUAGGAGAGUUUCCCUGUCAACCAGUGAUAAACUUUUGUUUUUUUAAACUACUGAGAAUGGAGGUUGGUUGUUACUGAAGCAGACCCUACUUUCUUCUGAAUAAGGAACCUUCUUCUCUUUGCUGGUCUAGAUGAAAACUUAUUAAAGUGUGUUAUUUGUAACAUCAGUCUUGAGAGGUUAUCUACUAAAAGAAUUAUAUUGUCAAUAAACUCUGGGCAACACUACCUACCCUACUCUCAUCUUAGAAAGUCUCUAUAAACACUUUGGAGCAAAUUGGAUGAUGCUAUUCUAGAAUCUGUCUUUGGCAAACGUCUAUUCUUUGGGUUUCCAGCACUGCAUGUAUGCAGCUUAUUUCUAAAUACCUAACUCCUCACUCUUAGAGGUCCUCACAUAGAAUGUUAUUCUGGCAUUUCCAGUUCAAUAUGGAAGAUCCCAUGAUCUUCCUGUAACUCAAUCUGCUCUGUUUUUAAUUCCUUUCACCGUAUUACUCCAAAGACACUAAGACACUUUCUAUAUUCUGUAUGUAUCUACAGUUCAAAGCUCUCUAAAGUCAUAAAAUUAGUCCAUCACUAUGUAUAUUAACCCAAGCAUGAAAAGUGGCUCAUAAUAUGUGUUAAUAAAGUUUAUUAAAAUGACUGGCCCCUGGGAAACACCUUAAAACUGUAAAGAUGUUUAUUCUGUCCUUUGAAAUAUGACAUACAUGGUAAAUACAUAGGUUUUAGAGUUCAGGAAAAUUUGGUAUGCUUUUCAGCUCUGCCUUCAUAUCUUGCAAACGUGGCACAUUAAUUUACCUGAGUUUUUUUGUGCAAUAGAGAUAAGAAUAUUAACACAUAAGGUAGUAGAUAUUAAAGUAUACCUUACAGUUUCAGCAAACUUGUAAAGAGUGCUUACAGUUUUAAGUUAUCUUGUCUUUCCUCCUGAACAAAUAAUGAUCUUUGCCAACAUGUAAGUGCUGUUGGUAAAAUUUGAGUUAUUAAUUUUCUAUGAAGGUUAUCUUUAAUGCCAUCUUAGAAAAUCUCACUGUAAUCAGGUCUUGACUGUGAUUCUAUUUUCUUAAUACCUUCCGAUUCUAGCCACAUAUUUCCUUCUCUCCUCAAUAUGUUGCCUCAUUUCUGGGCAUCAUCAUCCAUCAUUCGGAUCCACCACCAUUCUGACUGUUCCUUAACUGCUACUGGUCUUUUCAUUAACCUAUUCUCCACAUUGCUCCCAGAGUCAUCUUCCAAAAUGACAACUAACUCUCCUGAGAACUUUUGAAUGGGACCCCAUUGCUCUUAGAAUAAAGACCAAGCUCUCUUCAUGGCUUGAAUUACCAGAAGGGCACUUCAGAAUAUGCCUCUUUGAUUCUGUUAGCCUUAUCUCCUACCAGUCUCUUCUUUAAAUCCAACAUUUUAAUUAUACUGAACUGAUUCGAUUAUGCAAACAGGCUGUAUUUACUUGCAAAUACUACGUCCUUUACCAGGGACACAAUAUCCUAACCCUUCAUCUAGUCAACCUCAAUUCAUCCUUCAAGGUUUGGCUGAGAAACCCUGAAGAAGGUUUCCCUGUCCAAGAAAACUUCCCUCAUUCCCAUGGCACUCUGCUACACUCCAAUAUGUUCUAUGCACCCUGAUUAGAACGUGUAUCAGGUUACUAGUUUGCCUCUCCCACUAGGAAUUCUCUGAGGGCAGACAAAAUACUUAAGUAGGAACCCAGUAGAGAGAUGUGUUUUGAAUGAAUGAAUAAAUGUGUGCUUUCAGGAGCAGCAGCAGUCAUUAGUUUUAUUCAUUGAAUCGGUCACUUAAUGCUUCUUGAUCAUGUGGCAGAAUGUGCAUUCUUGCCCCAUUGUAGAUGGGCAAGUAAUUAGUUCUGGCCAACAAGACGUAAGUAUCAGCUGUGGGUUGAGCAUUUAAUUGUCACUGUUAAGUCACUCCAGAACUCUUUAUUCUUUGACACAGAGACAAGCAACAUUAAAGUUGGUGGCUGCUCCAUCAGCCUACAUCUCAUUAGGGACACAUAAGUAAGAAGUUAAUGUUUGCCAUUUUCAACAAUUGAGCUUUCAGGGUUGUCUGUAGCUCCAAAAUAAUCCACCCUGACUGACACAGAAGGUUUGAAGAAAAUAUGACCUAGUACAGUGAAGAAAGUGUAGAAGGAAGGGAAAAUGAUAGUGGAAAUCAGGUCCUGCUUGUUGUUAAGUCUGAGAACUCUCUUGGGAGGUUAAGCAGCAGCUGCUUCUGGGUGAAGGUAAGCAGCACUUGUAGGGGACCCAGGGGCUUUGCAGCUUUGCAAAGGCAUCUUUAAGGGUGGCUGACAUUUAUGAUCAACAUCAGGUUAUGACUGGGCAAAGAAAAAAGAGUUUAUACUGCAUGUUCUUACGCAUAAGUGGGUGUUGAACAAUGAGAACACAUGGACACAGGGAAGGGAACAUCACACACUGGGGUCCGU